CAGAGAGCUUCUCUGAUCUUAGCAGGGAGAGGGAGAAGGUACAUUUGGCAUGAAAUAAUUUUAACUUUUACAAAAGAAUUCCUAGUUUCAAGGAAAAGCAUCACUUAUAUUAUUUUCCACUAUCAUCUGAAAAUGCAUCACUGCAUAAACCAUCCCAUAGUGCGCGUUAAAUAGGAGCUCGGGAAUAUUUGACAUCACACAGUGAUGGCUGGCUGAAAGCAACUAAAUAAAAGGUGUCCAAAAGAGAAAAAAACAAGUGAGUAAUUCAUUUUUCCACUGAAUAUCUGGGUCAUGGGAUUGUUUUAUUUCUGGGCUCAAAAUUAAUGCAACUGUCAUGACACAUUCUUAGUACUGUAAAAGCUAGAAUAGCAGUUUAAGAGCAGUUUCAUUCCAGGUCCCAGAGGAGGGAGGCAAUUUCGCAAUUAGUUUACACUGCUCUAACUUCCCUCUGGCAUGGAAAGGGGUGAUCUCCCUCUCACCCCUUACUGCAGGUUUCCAUCUUGUCUCCUGUGUUUCCCCACCAGCAUUUCUUCCCUGGGACCAGUUUUUGGUCGCUGCAUCAGAGAGGGCUGACCUGAUCACUAAGUACAUAGAAGCUGGCACUGCUGAGAGAGGAGCGAGAGAUGUGUCCCCUGGGGGUCUUGCCUUGGGGAAUUCCCACCUCACAGCCCUGCACGGUCCCUGCAAGCCAGCUCAGGUGGCCUGUGGCUUCUGGAGGUGCCGGAGGUGUCUGAGCCACAAGCAAACAGUGCAGCUGUCAACAAUUCCAUGAGAUGCAUGCUGCUGUUUCCUAGAAGAUACUCACUUAAGAAAAAACCCACAUCAGUGAGAAGGGACAACAAAAAGUGCAUCCAAUGGCAAGGCACUCGGAGCAACCUCAGCCAACAUACCAGGGCACUGAGCCUGGAUUUGGGGGAUAUUUAAAUCGUGAGUAAGUUAAUGACCUUGGAGGCGGAUCCUCGCUCCCACCCUGAGGGGAGCCCCCUGAGGGAAGGGAUGGUGGGACAGCAGCGCCCUGAGGGGACCUGGGUGCCCCGAGCCUGCCGAGGGAGGCGGGAAGGUGCCCGGUGCUCAGCGCAGGGCCGCGCUAACCUCAGGGCAGCUCAGCUCCGCACCACCGUCCCGCUCUUUUAUUAUAAUAACUGUUAUUAAUUGUCCUUUUCCCAGCGUCACUUCAAAGACCGCGCCUGCCCGCCGAGGGAGCCUCCCGCCCUCCUCCGCGCCCGCGGCCACCCCGCUGCCCCGCCGCCUUCCCCCCUACCUUCAGC